rnacentral:rRNA from 1 species
AACGAACGCUGGCGGCAGGCUUAACACAUGCAAGUCGAGCGCCCCGCAAGGGGAGCGGCAGACGGGUGAGUAACGCGUGGGAAUCUACCCAUCUCUACGGAAUAACGCAUGGAAACGUGUGCUAAUACCGUAUACGUCCUUCGGGAGAAAGAUUUAUCGGAGAUGGAUGAGCCCGCGUUGGAUUAGUUAGUUGGUGGGGUAAAGGCCUACCAAGGCGACGAUCCAUAGCUGGUCUGAGAGGAUGAUCAGCCACACUGGGACUGAGACACGGCCCAGACUCCUACGGGAGGCAGCAGUGGGGAAUAAUGGACAAUGGGCGCAAGCCUGAUCCAGCCAUGCCGCGUGAGUGAUGAAGGCCCUAGGGCUGUAAAGCUCUUUCACCGGUGAAGAUAAUGACGGUAACCGGAGAAGAAGCCCCGGCUAACUUCGUGCCAGCCGCCGCAGUAAUAC